rnacentral:rRNA from 1 species
UGGGGAAUAUUGGACAAUGGGGGCAACCCUGAUCCAGCAAUGCCGCGUGUGUGAAGAAGGCCUUCGGGUUGUAAAGCACUUUUAUCCGGAACGAAACGUGCGGGGUGAAUAGCCUCGUAAACUGACGGUACCGGAGGAAUAAGCACCGGCUAACUUCGUGCCAGCAGCCGCGGUAAUACGAAGGGUGCAAGCGUUACUCGGAAUUACUGGGCGUAAAGGGUGCGUAGGUGGUUUUUUAAGUCUGCUGUGAAAUCCCCGGGCUCAACCUGGGAAUGGCAGUGGAUACUGGAAAGCUGGAGUGCGGUAGAGGGUAGUGGAAUUCCCGGUGUAGCAGUGAAAUGCGUAGAGAUCGGGAGGAACACCAGUGGCGAAGGCGGCUACCUGGACCAGCACUGACACUGAGGCACGAAAGCGUGGGGAGCAAACA